UGGGGGGGUGAAGCUCCUGUGAGGGGUCCGUGGGUGAAGCCCCUCCAUGGGCAGAGCCCCGCACAGAGCGAGCUUUGUGUGCUGCGCUCACGUGAGGCACUCGGGGCCCUCGGAAUCCCCGAGGGAUCGGUCAUUGAGGUUGGAAAAGACCUCUGAGGUCAUCGCGUCCGGCUUGUGACCGAUCACCAGCUUCUCCACCAGACCACAGCGCUGAGGUGCCACGUCCAGUAUUUCCUUACACAUACAGGGAAUAAUGACCAGCAAGGUGACCCUGCUAGAGGAAGCCUUCCAGGCCUUCUGGCUGCUCGGUGCAAAGGCACUCCACAAGCCUGGGUGCGCUCGGAGGGAGGUGAGGGCGCAAUGUUUGCGCAGCAGGAAGCUGAGCCAGGGUGGGGAGAAGGUGUUUAGUGAUACAGGCAUGCAGCAGGUAUCACAGCACUCACCCACCCCUGCACACCUGCCCUCUGCUCUGUGCCAGGUAGGAGGGUGCCUUCCCAUUCUGCAGUCCUUGUGGAAGAUACAGGUUUAGUGACAGCACAUCACUCGGACAGGAUAUGAAGGAUUGCAGAUAAACCAGGAUUUUGGGCUACAGGGUUUAUCAAAUAUUGCAGUGCUGCAGGCUGGGAUUUAUCGUCUCCCCAGGCUCGGUUCCUGUUUGCCUUUGCUGAAAUCCUUCUGAAGGGUGACAGCAUUCAAGUACAUUAGAACUGUAAGCAGGCAAAGUACAGAAGUCAGGAUUUCUUAUUACAGGAGAAUUGGAAUAAAAAAAUUUGUGAAGAUUAUGGGGGAAACCAUGUAAUGAUGAAUAAGAAGUCAGGCUCCAGUCUUGGGGAGAGCUGGCAUCCAGACUAGUUUAAAUAAGAUGUUAAUGUAUUUUCUUUUCUAUUUAAACUUGAUCUUGACUUUUCUUCUGGUACCUCAUAUCCUUUUAUGGUCAGUUGCACUGUACUCAUGCAUAUUUAUUAGAUUUACACAUAUUUUGCAAGUCACCUUCACAUCUUAUUUUCUUUUCCCGGACAAACUGGUUGGUUAUGUACACACUGAAUUUGCAAAUCUCAUCUCUGGUGUCCAUUAACCCCUGUUAGUCUGGUUGCUCAAUGUGCAGAUAAGUUUUGGGGCUUAUUUGCAAUUUAACUUCCUUCUGCAUAUUAAGCACAGCCAAUAUACUUCUGUUUAGUUUUCACAACCCAGAUUCCUUCACACAUGGAAAUGACCUGCAGAUUCAGCAUCCUGGCAUUGAAACAGCUGUUCUGUUGGAGAGAUCAGUGCCCCUGCUGUCUGAGAGAGAGCAGGAAUUAGGUGUUUGUAAGGUAUUCCUUCCUUUCAGGGAGCUGCAGGUGUGAGAAGGUUUAUUUACCUGCACAUAUUUUCCUUGCCUUAAGCUCACAGUGAAGCUGGAAUAGAAGAGGCAGAUAUUAUUUUUCCUCCCCAGACUAAACCACAUCUCUGAAACCGAGCUAGAAGCACUUUCUGUUUGCUUGUGGCACUUCCAGACCUGCUGAAGGCCUAGAAAGUGCAGCCACUGAAACACACAGAGUUGGUUACUGAGGCAGAGGUUGGUGUGGCAGGAGACAAGUUGUUGGAAUAAACACAGCUGUGUUUUUUCCAUCGUUGUGUGCUCAUUUUCUGGGUCAGGCAGCCACAGACCCUGGCUGUGCAAAGGUGCAGGGUAAACCCCUGUCCCUUGGGGAAGUGCUGGAACUGUAGGAUCUACUCUGGGAUUUCACCUUGGAUGGGGUUCACUGUUGUUUAAAUCAAAUAAAGCUGUGGUUAUCCCUA